AGAUGAGGGAUGGCGCCGGCGCAGGCCUGCGCGCCACGCGCUUUAGGUGGAUGAGGGAUGGCGCAGGUGCAGGCCUGCGCGCCUCACGCUUUAUGUACAUGAGGGAUGAGGCAGCACAGGAAUUGGCACAACCUGAAGUCAGCUCUGCAGCUUUCCAAGCUUCGUUCUGCGUGUCCUGUACUCAACAGUCAUCUCAUGCUGCAGGGUGGCUGCGUGUGCUCCGUACAUCACACCCAUAUUUCAGGUAGGGACGGUUCCCGGAGGGUGCUCAGCACCAUGCCGACUACUGCUGGCUGGCACGUUCGCACGUGGCCAUGUCAGCUCCAAGGAGGAUGCUGACAUCCUGCUGGCUGGCACGUUCGCACGUGUCCAUGUUAGCUGCGAGGGCCAUGCCGACAUCCUGCUGGCUGGCACUUCCACAGGUAGCCAUGUUAGCUGAGAGGGCGAUGCCAACAUCUUGCUGGCUGGCACGUUUGCACGCGGCCAUGUUAGCUGCGAGGACAAUGCUUCUGCAACUUUUGGUUUCUUCCCUUUCAUCCUCCCACCCCUGACCGUUUUUGCCUGGGAGCAAGUGCCUAAUAAAUUACCUGCACUCAAAUCUUUGGCUCAGAGACUUUCCGAGAGAACCCAAGCUGAGGCAGACAAUGAAAUCAACACUACCAGCCACUUAGCUGCCAGCUGGGUGGAGAGUGGGCUGCUCUUCCAAGACGCUUUUCAGCCUCUGAAGGCUCAUUUCCAGAAGGUCCUGUCUAUCUGGGCUACUUGCUUCCAGAGCAGUUGCAUCUGGCUGGAUAGCUAAUGAGCGAUAAGGCCUGCAAACCUCAAGCCACAUCUUUAAAGAUGAGGGCCCUGAUGUUCCACAGUGUGCGACGUUACUGGGGUCCAGCCAGUUAUGUUCUGGGAGCUGCCUGAAUGAAAAUCAAUUUGUUAUUUUAGUUGGUUGGCUUGUUUAAAAAAAAAUUAAAUAACAAGAAAUAAGAAAAAACGUGCAAUGGCUUUGAGGUAGAACAGAAAAUCCAGUGAGCCCUCUCUGUGCCUCUGGCAGAAGAAACUGUGAAGAUUUGCAUUUAGAAAAACGCCUCCUCAACUUUGGCGGCACCUGAUGGUUCAUGGUUCCUAAAAUUAGAAAAUGCUAGAGCCUUGGUUCUUUUUUUUUUUUUUUUGACGGAGUCUCACUCUGUCACCAGGCUGGAGUGCAGUGGUGUGAUCUUGGCUCACUGCAACCUCCACCUCCUGGAUUCAAGUGAUUCUCCUGCCUCAGCCUCCCGAGUAGCUGGGACUACAGGCGCCCGCCACCAUGCCUGGCUGAUUUUUGCAUUUUUAGUAGAGAUGGGGUUUCACCAUGUUGGCCAGGAUGGUCUCGAUCUCUUGACCUCGUGAUCCACCCGCCUUGGCCUCCCAAAGUGCUGGGAUUACAGGCGUGAGCCACUGCGGGAGCCUUGCUUCUAUGCGAGUAUUUCGGAGACAAUUAGACAAACAUCCCACAGCCCCAUUUUGAAGCCUGGCAUUGUGUUGGCUGCAGUGAAUUCUGGGGGUGGAGGUGGCUGGAGGGAAAGAGUUGGGAGUCUUGUUUUGUUUUGUGUUUCCUGGAGAGUUUUGGGUUCUGCGGGAUAAUAUGUGCUUGCAGGUGCAGCAGGAGUAGCAUUCUCAUUUCUCACGGCAGUUCAGUCCCUGAGCAGACGGGAGAGGUGAAAUAGAAACACACAUUACAGAAGGGACAUGCUUUCUUAAGGGCACGGGGACCGUGACACAUUGCUUUGAUGAACGGUGAUGGAGUCACACAUGGGGAAAUUCAACAUGGACACACCAGUCUCGCUAUGGAGACAUCUGUGUUGUAUGGGAGCUAAUGGCUUUGAAUGAGCCCAUAUUCAUUUUUCUAGCAGUUUUGAUACUAACAUAAAGAGAGAAUGUGUGUGGACAGAGGAGGCUGUCCUGCACGGACUCUGGGUGUACUUUGUGCCAGUGACAUUUUGUUCCAGAGUGAUUUUGCUUGUUCCAGUUUUUCUGAAAGGAAAGCUUCCCCACAGUUUUGGGGACUGCUGUUUGUCUCAUGCCACAUGUGAGGAUUUGUGGGGUCCACAGUCUGCGACUGUGCUGUCCAGCAUCGAUUCCAUUCACACUGGUUCUUACUUUCAAAGUCUAUUCUGUUACAGGGAGAAGACUGCACAUAUAACACAGCUCUGCAUGGAAAACCUUCCGCCUGGAGGGGUGGCUUCCUAGAGGUGUGGCGUUGCCCUCUGUCUUGAACAGGCUGUGAGCCGUUUUGUCAUUUGGGGUUUCUAGAUGCAAACAGCAGAAGCUGCUGGCCAAUUACCAAAGGGAACGUGCUGUUAGGAUAUCAGGGCCUGGGAGCUGCAGCAAUGUGGGCUGACAGCAGAGAGCUAAGGCACUUUCCGAGGUGACGAGCUGGGCUGCUAUGCUGGAGACGGCUGGGCAGAAGCAGUUAGCAGGGCAUUUCCUUGUGUCCUUAUCUCAAGAGUCACAGUUUCAGGAGUGAGCAUCUCAGAGGUCAGGGUUCAUUCACAUGCCACCUCCCUUCUCACUGUGUCAUUGGGGAGGGGCCGUCUGGACCCUCUGGCUCCUGUGGCAAGAAAUGGUCCCAUCAAGUCAUCCAAGGGCCUGGAAGCCUCCCAAGGAAAGCAGGAGGGCUGGGUGCUGAGCAGCGUCCAGCAGCAAAGGUAGGCUCCAGCCCCGCAGGUGUGGCUGCGCCAUCCCAGGGAACGUGCCCCAGCAAGUGCUGGUGCUGCUCUCACUACAGGUGGGGUUGGUUUCACUGGACAGGUGGCACUUCCUCACCUCUUGCCCUCUGGACCCACGGCAGGCACUUUCCAGGGCACAUCACGUGGGUGUGCGGUCUGGCUGCUGGGUCCACGCGGGUUCUCAAUCAUGACCUGGCUUGCAAGCUCUUUCCACAGUUGGAUAAAUGAAGCCGUUGGGGAAGUAUCCGCAAACUCUUACAGUGAGUAUGUGAUAAUGACACACGCGUGGCCCUUCUAAGACCUCCGCUAGGCAUUAUCAGUGACUGUGCUCGUGAGCGCUGACCUCCGCUAGGCGUUAUCAGGGACUGUGCUCGUGAGCGCCGACCUCCGCUAGGCGUUAUCAGGGACUGUGCUCGUGAGCGCGGACCUCCGCUAGGCGAUAUCAGGGACUGUGCUCAUGAGGGCGGACUUUCACCAGCCACGCUUCCGAGGAGUGGAGUCUUUCUCAGCUCUGCCUCUCCAAGAUGACCAUCUUGUGAAGACGAUGCGUUCUUUAUACACAAGUUCUGUGUGUGUGUGUGUGUGUUCCACACACAGGACCAAAGUUGAGAUAGGCGCACAUUUUCUUGGUCCCACUUGUGGCCCCAGUCGGCUGUCAGAAGUGGGUGUGCUCCACAUGUACCCACCAUGUCAGGGCACAGUGCUCACAUUUCACACCUCAGCAGGUGCCUUGAUGUUGACCAGAGGCCCCAAAAUCAUCUCUUUCUAUGACUUCUAGAUCUUAGAUUCCCAGGAACUGGGAAAUGCAGUCAGUAUCUUUUGGGUCCAAGAAACUUUGUCAGAGCCCUUGUGGGAGAACCAUAGAUUCUCACCAGAUAAACAGAAGAGCUUCGUGUUAGAGAAACCCGCCUGUCUCCCCACAUUCUCAGUUUUCUGGAGAGCAGCUGAAAGCCAUCUGGGUGGAGAUUAAGAGCUCCAACCGUGUAGCUUUGAUGUAUCGGGCAAGUUGCUUAAGCUCUUUAAUGCUGUUUCCUCAUUUAUUGUGUGAGGCCAAAAAUACCCAUUCCUUAAAGUUGUGAGGAUUAAAAACAGUAAUGAAAAGUGAGUGGCAAGUGCCGAGUACACAGUCAAGUACCUGAUACUUUUUAGUGUAAGGUAAGUAGCAAGAAAGCAUGAAAUUUAUUUUCAUUUACUCUUACUACAUGUGGUAAACCAUCUAUGCACAGAGCACUGCAUUGGGUGCCAUGAAUGACAGAAUAAGAGUACCAGGUGCAUGAAAAGCUUAAAAGACAAAUGAGACAGAGCUAGGCUGCAGAAGACUUAAAAAGUUGAUGUAUUUAACUUUUAAUGGACACACUGUACAUGUUUAUGGGGUACGAUUUGUUGUUUCCAUGCAUAUCUGUGUUGUGUAAUGAUCCAAUCAGGGUAGUGUGUGUGCCCAUUUCCUCAAGGGUGGAUCAUUAUGUGUAUCAUCGUGCAUCAUCAUGUAUCAUGCAUGUACCAUCAUCAUGCAUCAUUGUGCAUCAUCAUGCCUGUAUCAUUAUGUAUCACCUCAUGCAUAUAUUAUAAUGUAUCACCUCAUGCGUGUAUUAUCAUGUAUCACCAUGCAUGUAUUGUGCAUGUGCCAUCAUCAUGCAUCAUUGUGCAUCAUCAUGCCUGUAUCAUUAAUCACCUCAUGCAUAUAUUAUAAUGUGUCACCUCAUGCGUGUUUUAUCAUGUAUCACCAUGCAUGUAUUGUGCAUGUACCAUCAUCAUGCAUCAUUGUGCAUCAUCAUGUCUGUAUCAUUAAUCACCUCAUGCAUAUAUUAUAAUGUGUCACCUCAUGCGUGUAUUAUCAUGUAUCACCAUGCAUGUAUUGUGCAUGUACCAUCAUCAUGCAUCAUUAGGCAUCAUUGUGCAUGUAUCAUCACCUCAUGCAUGUAUUAUGUAUCACCUCAUGCAUGUAUCAUGCAUGUACCAUCAUCAUGUAUCAUUAUGCAUCAUUGUGCAUGUAUCACUGUGUAUCAUGCAUGUGUCAUCAUGCAUCGCCCCAUGCGUGUAUCAUUUCUUUGUGGUGAGAACACUCAGAAGCCUCUCAUCUCGCUAUCUUGUCAUAUAUGCUAUUUUAUUGUUAACCAAAGUCAGCCUAUUGUGCAGUAGAACAAUCUCUCCUCAUCCCCUGUCCUCAUCCUCCCCUCCCAAGCUUCCAUAACCACUGUUUACUCUCUGCUCCUAGGAGAUCAACUUAAAAUUUUGUGUUAUUUUUGGAUUUCACAUACAAGAAAUCCAUACAAGAGCUCCAUAUGAGAUCGCUCAGUACCUGUUUCUCUGUACCUGGCUUAUUUCGCUUAACAUGAUGUCCAAGCUCAUCCAUAUUGUCACAGAUGCUGGGAUAUCAUUUUUUUCAUGGGAGAAUGGUAUUCCAUUGUGUAUCUACACCACAUUUUCUUUAUUCAUUCUCCGUUGUUGGGCACCAAGGGCGAUUCCAUACCUUGGUGAUUAUGAACAGUGCUGCGAUAAGUGUGGGGGUGCCGAUGUCUCCUCAACCCAUGGAUUUCCUGUCACCUGGGUCUUUACCCAGCAAUGGGUUGCUGAGUCCCAUGGUAGUUCUAUUUGUGUUUUUUUGAGGAACCUCUCUGCUGUUUUCCUGAGUGGCUGUAGAGAGCUAUAGAACUUUAGGUCUGUGAGAGAUAAGUCCUCCAGUACACAUGCCAUUUUCAGAAGGGCAAACUGUAGCCCAGGAAGGUCAGGUGCCUUGACCAAGGCAGGCACAGUGAGAAAGAGGCAGUGUUAGGACCGCAACUGAUUUUCCUCUCCAGUCUCUUUUGUGAAGAUUGGAUGCUAAGGUCAUAUAGGAAGCACUAUGGAAUAUGUAGGAGGUGCUCAGUCUGUUUUGUGAAGAUUGUAUGCCAAGGUCAUAUGGGAAGCACUAUGCAUUAUGUAGUAGGUGCUGUGUGCCAUACAUUAAGAUUACAUUGUAAAUAGCAGGCACUAUGUAUUGUAUAUUAGCAUGAUGCACUGGGUCCUGUUGUCUGGGAGCCUGGCACCUGGCAGCUUCAAAGAACUUACAAGGUCCACAGGAAGGAACCUGGGACAGCCCAGGGAGCAUCACUGAAAGAAUUGGCCUGGAACAGAAGCCCCACAGCUCACCUGGGGGGAGCAGGGGGAGGAUAGGGGUGAGGAGGGAGAGGACCAGGGGAGCAGCGGGAGGACCAGGGGUGCAGGACGAGCACUGGGGGUGCACGGGAGAGCAGGGUGCAAGGACCUUGCUGGCUGAGAAGACAGCGGGAAUGGCGGGUCCUGGGAGAGGGGAGGAGGGGAGGCAGGCCACCAGCCACCCUGACUUCAGCCAGGAGACCCAUUUCAGAGGCUCAAAGGGUGGAGAUGGUGCAGCCAUAGUGGGAAGCUGAGCCCCAUGCUGGAUGCUCAGAUUGAGGGGGCUCCUGAGGGGCUGCGUUCCUCUCUCCAGGGGCCGUGGGACGGUGGCUGCUCAUCUCACAGGUAUUUAUUGGGUUUUUCACCACCUGCCAGGACUUUGCUGCCCACGUCACACAUUUCAUGUAACCUGUAGGUGUAGAGGCCUCAUUUUCAGACAAAGAUGAACUAAGAAAGUGUCUUCUCGGAGGUCACGGCUGGAGCCAGAUGGUCAGGCUCAGGCUGGGGCUGGCUUCCCUCGAUGUGAUGCACGGCUCCCAUGUCACGUUUCCCUGACUAUCAGGAGCUCCCAGAGGCCAAGGAUGGGGUGGCCGCCUGGACAAUUCAGACCUAAGGAAGGGCUCCUGGCCUCUUCCCUGAGAGCCUCUAAGCUGACUGCUCUCUUCCUGCUCAGCAGCUCAUGAUCCCCGGUGGCUUCCUUGAGCUGGGACUUGACUGAAACCCCUGGGACUGGCCCUCCAGCCACCCUGACUUCAGGGGGUCGAGGUGCUCACUGGGCCAGUGCUCAGGAGGCUCCGUGCCAGCUGGAACACCGGGAAACCCUCUAUCUGAAUCUUUGACCCAGGGAGGAGCCUGGAGAGGUGACGUCCCGGCAGGCCUCUCCCGCAAAACCCAGAAUCAGAAGUGGCCACACCAGGUCCGGCACCCACGGCAGCAGCAGGAGCCAUUUCUGGGACAACUUUGGGGAUAUACUUGUCCUUCCAAGUGAAAGGAGCUUAAAAAGACCCCUGAGCAGGAGAGAAAAAGUAUCUUCAAAGAGAACUCCCUUCAUCUUGAAGAAAGUGUCUGCGCUAGCCUCUUGGCCAUUGCGCCGCAGUAGAAUCUUAGGCUCCGUCACUCCUGUGACUUAAUUCAAUUGGCAUCGGUAUUUUGAAAAUAAUGAUUUUUCCUAAUUGUAAAUGUGAAAUGUAUUAUAGAAACGUCGUCCACAAGCCUCUCACUCAGAGAGAGACACCGAUAACUGUUUCUUUCCAUGGAGUACAUUCCACCGUCCCGUUUUCCCACCACACCGCGUGGCCUGACGCUUUCCUCUGUCAUGAACGGCUCUGAUACAACGUGAGAUGAAAUUCCAUCUCAGACAUGCACUGUGAUCACUCACCCCUCACUCCUCAAUGCCUGUGUGUCAUUGAGCACCUCACCUGUGCUAUAUAUUUCUCUUUAGGGUCACAAAAGAAUUGCUCUGUAAUCUCUGUGGGCAAGGAGAUUUCUCCCGAGUUUGAUUGGUUUUUCUGUUUUCUUAGGAUAGAAAUUUUUCUAGCAGUCAUUGGUCUAUUGAAAACACAAAUAAGCUUCACUUCAUACACUAGAAAACUUCAUAAUAUAAGGUUUAUAUUUGCCAUGAGAGGAAACAAAAUGUUGUCUUAAAUGCAUUCACGUACCCUAAGAAAAAUGGUAUGAAACGGUCAAGGAAAAGUUCCUUCUGAUAGUAAAAAAUUCACCCCCUUAUUAAACCAACAAUGAAGUUGCACUAGAUUAGAGUUUAGUUCCGAAACUCUGUGCUUUUAGAUAUUUGGUCCGUUAGGAUUUCCUGGUGGGGGGCACACGCGCGUAAGUCUCUUGAUGGUGGGGCUCUGGUUCUCUGGCCGAGACCACAGAUGUGUCUCCAGGCAGGUACUUCCUCUGCAAGUGUCUGAUGACCACAGUGAGGUGGGUGUGUUGAUAAUAAUCUACUGUCAUAGACACCUUACCUUAUUAAUACUGCUAAACCAGGAAGGGCACAAUUGAUAUUCUCAGGUUUUUUAAUCCUUUAAGAAGAAAAGAUAAUUAAAAAAAUCUUUUCACUCAAGAAGCAUACGAUAGAAUAUGGUGAUACAGACAAAGGGUAGGCCCACUGAUUCGAAAAUUACAGAUUGAAUCCCUGAGACAAAUAUCUCCCCUGCUUUCAGGUAGAUUACUGUCUACAGGUGGGAUAACCAUGUAUAAAAUUAUGUCAAAUUGUGUUGUGGUAUGUUUUGAUUCCUUUGAAAUAAGGGCUUCUCCUUUAUCCACACCACUAUC
rnacentral:lncRNA from 1 species